CCGCACGGUAAACGAUGGACACCCGCUGUCGGCGAUACACUGUCGGCGGCCAAGCGAAAGCGUUAAGUGUCCCACCUGGGGAGUACGCCGGCAACGGUGAAACUCAAAGGAAUUGACGGGGGCCCGCACAAGCGGAGGAACAUGUGGUUUAAUUCGAUGAUACGCGAGGAACCUUACCCGGGCUUGAAUUGCACUCGAAUUAUGGGGAAACCCAUAAGCCGCAAGGCGGGUGUGAAGGUGCUGCAUGGUUGU
rnacentral:rRNA from 1 species